rnacentral:lncRNA from 1 species
UCUGUUCCAUAUUCCCCAAGGACUGACUCUUAAUGUGGAAGGAAAAUUCCUAAGGGAAGCACCUAAGGAUAUUGUGGAAUUUUGUCCAGCUACAGUUUAGAAACAGGGAACAGAAUCUUGCUUUUUUUUUUUUAGUUGAACACUGAUUCUUCUCUCAUACAAUACAUUCCAACCAGAGUUCCCCCUCCUUCCAUUCCUCCCAGCUCCACCCCCCCCCCCCCCCACACACACAGCUUCCCUCUCCCUGGGAUCCACUCCCCCUCUGUCUCCCAUCAACAAAGGCCUCCAAGAGACAACAGGCAAACAGGACAAGGCAAAGACAGUAAGACAAGGCAGACUGCAGUAAGACAAGACAAGGCAGACUACAGUAAGACAAGACAAGGCAGACUACAGUAAGACAGGGCAGACUACAGUAAGACAGGACAGACUACAGUAAGACAAGGCAGACUACAGUAAGACAAGACAAGGCAGACUACAGUAAGACAAGACAAGGCAGACUACAGUAAGACAAGGCAGACUACAGUAAGACAGGGCAGACUACAGUACGACAGGGCAGACUACAGUAAGACAGGACAGACUACAGCAAGACAAGGCAGACUACAGUAAGACAAGGCAAACUACAAACUACAGUUAGACAAGGCAGACACAGUAAGACAAGGCAGACUAUAGUAAGACAAGGCAGAAGCCCUCACAAUGAGUCUGGACAAGGCAGCCCAGUAGGAGGAAAAGAGUACUAAGAGCAGGCAAAAGAGUCAGAGACACUCCUGCUACCACAGUUAGGAGUCCCACAAAACCACCAAGCUAACAGCCACAAGGUAUACCCAGAGGACCUGGUGCAGUGGCCCCACAGGGCCCAUGCUUGCCACGUCAAUCUCUCUGAGCCCAUAUGCUCCUUGCUUAGUUGAGAAUCCUGCUUUUUGAGCCAGUGAUCCGGGGGGCUGCUGUGCUUAGCUGUGUGUGAGCAGUCCAGAGGAGCUGGUGUGGGUACCAGGAGUGGGUAGAUGAGAUGUAUCCUAGGGACCAGGACCUUCUGCUGGUUGGCUUUUGGUACCCGUGUUGGGAAGAGGGUUCUGAUGAGCUCUUGGAAAGAUGGAGGGAAUGGGCAAGUUUCAGGUUUAUGCUGGGACAUUUCCUUUUUUUUUUUAAUUUUUUUUAUUAGGUAUUUUCCUCGUUUACAUUUUCAAUGCUAUCCCAAAGGUCCCCCAUAUCCACCCCCCCAA